rnacentral:rRNA from 1 species
AGACCCGAAACCCGGUGAUCUAGCCAUGGGCAGGUUGAAGGUUGGGUAACACUAACUGGAGGACCGAACCGACUAAUGUUGAAAAAUUAGCGGAUGACCUGUGGCUGGGGGUGAAAGGCCAAUCAAACCGGGAGAUAGCUGGUUCUCCCCGAAAGCUAUUUAGGUAGCGCCUCGUGAAUUCAUCUCCGGGGGUAGAGCACUGUUUCGGCUAGGGGGCCAUCCCGGCUUACCAACCCGAUGCAAACUGCGAAUACCGGAGAAUGUUAUCACGGGAGACACACGGCGGGUGCUAACGUCCGUCGUGAAGAGGGAAACAACCCAGACCGCCAGCUAAGGUCCCAAAGUCAUGGUUAAGUGGGAAACGAUGUGGGAAGGCCCAGACAGCCAGGAUGUUGGCUUAGAAGCAGCCAUCAUUUAAAGAAAGCGUAAUAGCUCACUGGUCGAGUCGGCCUGCGCGGAAGAUGUAACGGGGCUAAACCAUGCACCGAAGCUGCGGCAGCGACACUGUGUGUUGUUGGGUAGGGGAGCGUUCUGUAAGCCUGUGAAGGUGGCCUGUGA